rnacentral:misc_RNA from 1 species
UCUCCGUUGGCGAACCAGCGGAGGGAUCAUUACCGAGUUAUCAACUCCCAAACCCCUGUGAACAUACCCAACGUUGCUUCGGCGGGACCGCCCCGGCGCCCUCGGCGUCCCGGAACCAGGCGCCCGCCGGAGGACCCAAACUCUUGUUUAAACCAUAGUGGCAUAUUCUGAGUCUCACAAGAAAAAUGAAUCAAAACUUUCAACAACGGAUCUCUUGGCUCCG